rnacentral:rRNA from 1 species
GAUGAACGCUGGCGGCGUGCCUAAUACAUGCAAGUCGAGCGAACGGACGAGAAGCUUGCUUCUCUGAUGUUAGCGGCGGACGGGUGAGUAACACGUGGAUAACCUACCUAUAAGACUGGGAUAACUUCGGGAAACCGGAGCUAAUACCGGAUAAUAUUUUGAACCGCAUGGUUCAAAAGUGAAAGACGGUCUUGCUGUCACUUAUAGAUGGAUCCGCGCUGCAUUAGCUAGUUGGUAAGGUAACGGCUUACCAAGGCAACGAUGCAUAGCCGACCUGAGAGGGUGAUCGGCCACACUGGAACUGAGACACGGUCCAGACUCCUACGGGAGGCAGCAGUAGGGAAUCUUCCGCAAUGGGCGAAAGCCUGACGGAGCAACGCCGCGUGAGUGAUGAAGGUCUUCGGAUCGUAAAACUCUGUUAUUAGGGAAGAACAUAUGUGUAAGUAACUGUGCACAUCUUGACGGUACCUAAUCAGAAAGCCACGGCUAACUACGUGCCAGCAGCCGCGGUAAUACGUAUGUGGCAAGCGUUAUCCGGAAUUAUUGGGCGUAAAGCGCGCGUAGGCGGUUUUUUAAGUCUGAUGUGAAAGCCCACGGCUCAACCGUGGAGGGUCAUUGGAAACUGGAAAACUUGAGUGCAGAAGAGGAAAGUGGAAUUCCAUGUGUAGCGGUGAAAUGCGCAGAGAUAUGGAGGAACACCAGUGGCGAAGGCGACUUUCUGGUCUGUAACUGACGCUGAUGUGCGAAAGCGUGGGGAUCAAACAGGAUUAGAUACCCUGGUAGUCCACGCCGUAAACGAUGAGUGCUAAGUGUUAGGGGGUUUCCGCCCCUUAGUGCUGCAGCUAACGCAUUAAGCACUCCGCCUGGGGAGUACGACCGCAAGGUUGAAACUCAAAGGAAUUGACGGGGACCCGCACAAGCGGUGGAGCAUGUGGUUUAAUUCGAAGCAACGCGAAGAACCUUACCAAAUCUUGACAUCCUUUGACAACUCUAGAGAUAGAGCCUUCCCCUUCGGGGGACAAAGUGACAGGUGGUGCAUGGUUGUCGUCAGCUCGUGUCGUGAGAUGUUGGGUUAAGUCCCGCAACGAGCGCAACCCUUAAGCUUAGUUGCCAUCAUUAAGUUGGGCACUCUAAGUUGACUGCCGGUGACAAACCGGAGGAAGGUGGGGAUGACGUCAAAUCAUCAUGCCCCUUAUGAUUUGGGCUACACACGUGCUACAAUGGACAAUACAAAGGGCAGCGAAACCGCGAGGUCAAGCAAAUCCCAUAAAGUUGUUCUCAGUUCGGAUUGUAGUCUGCAACUCGACUACAUGAAGCUGGAAUCGCUAGUAAUCGUAGAUCAGCAUGCUACGGUGAAUACGUUCCCGGGUCU